GAGGAUCGGUCUCUUUCGUUUUAGUUCCGCGGCGAAACAAACCUGUGAAACUCUUGGAUUUCCCCAGAUUACCUCGACUCCGUUAGGGGUCGGGAACUUGAGGCAAAGAUGGUAGGUUGAUGGGAUUGCGCGCAUGGUGUUUAGCCAUGGCGUCCCCAUGAUAACGUUAUAAGAUGCGGGGCGGUCAACGACUAGAAACUCUGUGAUGUUAGUCACGGUUCCGGCUUUGACAGCGAGUCUAAUCGAUCCA
rnacentral:lncRNA from 1 species